UACGUAGGGUGCGAGCGUUGUCCGGAAUUAUUGGGCGUAAAGAGCUUGUAGGCGGUUUGUCGCGUCUGCUGUGAAAGUCCGGGGCUCAACUCCGGAUCUGCGGUGGGUACGGGCAGACUAGAGUGCAGUAGGGGAGACUGGAAUUCCUGGUGUAGCGGUGAAAUGCGCAGAUAUCAGGAGGAACACCGAUGGCGAAGGCAGGUCUCUGGGCUGUAACUGACGCUGAGGAGCGAAAGCAUGGGGAGCGAACAGG
rnacentral:rRNA from 1 species